rnacentral:rRNA from 1 species
CACGUAGGGACCAAGCGUUGUCCGGAUUCAUUGGGCGUAAAGAGCUCGUAGGCGGUUCGAUAAGUCGGGUGUGAAACCUCCAGGCUCAACCUGGAGACGCCACCUGAUACUGCCGUGGCUAGAGUCCGGUAGAGGAGCGUAGAAUUCCUGGUGUAGCGGUGAAAUGCGCAGAUAUCAGGAGGAAUACCAGCGGCGAAGGCGGCGCUCUGGGCCGGUACUGACGCUGAGGAGCGAAAGCGUGGGGAGCAAGCAGG